AAGACCUUGCGCUUUUGGAGCGGCCGAUGCCUGAUUAGCUAGUUGGUAGGGUAAAGGCCUACCAAGGCGUCGAUCAGUAGUUGGUCUGAGAGGACGACCAGCCACACUGGGACUGAGACACGGCCCAGACUCCUACGGGAGGCAGCAGUGGGGAAUUUUGGACAAUGGGCGCAAGCCUGAUUCAGCAAUGCCGCGUGAGUGAAGAAGGCCUUCGGGUUGUAAAGCUCUUUCAGUCGAGAAGAAAAGAUUACGACUAAUAAUCGUAAUUCAUGACGGUACCGACAGAAGAAGCACCGGCUAACUACGUGCCAGCAGCCGCGGUAAUACGUAGGGUGCGAGCGUUAAUCGGAAUUACUGGGCGUAAAGGGUGCGCAGGCGGCUUUGUAAGUCAGAUGUGAAAUCCCCGGGCUUAACCUGGGAACU
rnacentral:rRNA from 1 species